GACGAACGCUGGCGGCGUGCUAAUACAUGCAAGUCGAACGAAACUUCCUUACACCGAAUGCUUGCAUUCACCGUAAGAAGUUGAGUGGCGGACGGGUGAGUAACACGUGGGUAACCUGCCUAAAAGAAGGGGAUAACACUUGGAAACAGGUGCUAAUACCGUAUAUCUCUAAGGAUCGCAUGAUUCUUAGAUGAAAGAUGGUUCUGCUAUCGCUUCUAGAUGGACCCGCGGCGUAUUAACUAGUUGGUGGGGUAACGGCCUACCAAGGUGAUGAUACGUAGCCGAACUGAGAGGUUGAUCGGCCACAUUGGGACUGAGACACGGCCCAAACUCCUACGGGAGGCAGCAGUAGGGAAUCUUCCACAAUGGACGCAAGUCUGAUGGAGCAACGCCGCGUGAGUGAAGAAGGUCUUCGGAUCGUAAAACUCUGUUGUUAGAGAAGAACACGAGUGAGAGUAACUGUUCAUUCGAUGACGGUAUCUAACCAGCAAGUCACGGCUAACUACGUGCCAGCAGCCGCGGUAAUACGUAGGUGGCAAGCGUUGUCCGGAUUUAUUGGGCGUAAAGGGAACGCAGGCGGUCUUUUAAGUCUGAUGUGAAAGCCUUCGGCUUAACCGGAGUAGUGCAUUGGAAACUGGAAGACUUGAGUGCAGAAGAGGAGAGUGGAACUCCAUGUGUAGCGGUGAAAUGCGUAGAUAUAUGGAAGA
rnacentral:rRNA from 1 species